rnacentral:misc_RNA from 1 species
GAUGAAGAACGUAGCGAAAUGCGAUACGUAAUGUGAAUUGCAGAAUUCAGUGAAUCAUCGAGUCCUUGAACGCACAUUGCGCCCCCUGGUAUUCCGGGGGGCAUGCCUGUCCGAGCGUCAUUGCUGCCCUCAAGCACGGCUUGUGUGUUGGGCCUCCGUCCUCCUCCCGGGGGACGGGCCCGAAAGGCAGCGGCGGCACCGCGUCCGGUCCUCGAGCGUAUGGGGCUUCGUCACCCGCUCUUGUAGGCCCGGUCGGCGCUUGCCGACACAUCAAUCUUUUUUCCAGGUUGACCUCAGAUCAGGUAGGGAUACCCGCUGAACUUAAGCAUAUCAAUAAGCGGAGGA